UUGGCCGAAAAUGGGGAGAAAAGCUCGCCCGUUUCGGACAAGGGACCCCUUUAUAGGUGGCUGGCCAGGCCACUUUCGGGGGCUUAACGUGCCUCCGCAUGCAUGCCAUGUUCGGCGGCCGAACUUAAGGUUCGGCGGCCAAACCUGGACUUCCCUCUUUUAUGCCUUUGGGGGCCUAAAGCACUCCCGAAGCACAUGCAUGUUCGGCGGCCGAACCUGAGUCCUCCUCACAAGACUAUUUUCAUUCAAAACUUAAUUUCUUUCUUGCUUAAAACCAUAAAAUACAUUAAAACAUUUCAUGAAAACAUGAUUUUACCUUUCUAGAGGCUUCCGACAUCCGAGAUUCCACCGGACGGUAGGAAUUCCGAUAUCGGAGGCUAGCCGGGUAUUACAUUCUUCCCCCCUUAAGAACAUUCGUCCCCGAAUGUUCACCAAACAAACAUAGCAUGGCAUAAAACAUAAACAUUCAAAACAUAAAUCAUUAACAUACAUACAAAACACAUAUUGCUUACCUUAGAAGAGAUGAGGAUAUUGCUGGAGCAUGGACUCCCGUGUCUCCCAGGUACACUCUUCAAUGUUGUGGUGAUUCCAAAGGACUUUCACCAUCGCGAUUUCCUUGUUUCUUAACUUUCUGAUCUGGGUGUCUAUGAUCCGCACUGGCUGCUCAACAUAGGUGAGAUCUUCUUGGAUCUCCACAUCAGGCUCACUAAGAACCUUGCUCGGAUCUAACACGAACUUUCUUAACAUGGAAACAUGGAAAACCUGAUGGAUUUUCUCCAUAGAAGCAGGUAAGUCCAGCUUAUACGAUACAUUCCCGAUCUUUUGCAAGAUUUUAAAGGGUCCGAUGUACCGUGGAGCUAGCUUACCUUUCUUCCCGAACCGAAUCACCCCUUUCAUUGGAGACACUUUGAGCAAUACCAAAUUCCCCUCCUGAAACUCUACUUGCCUUCUGCGGACAUCUGUAUAACUCUUUUGCCUGCUUGCAGCAGUCUUGAUCCUCUCUCUGAUUAUGGGCACAACUCUACUGGUGAUCUCUACAAGCUCAGGCCCUGCUAAGGCCUUUUCUCCAACUUUCUCCCAACAGACAGGCGAUCUGCACUUCCUUCCAUAUAAAGCUUCAUAUGGAGCCAUCCCUAUGCUAGCAUGAUGGCUGUUAUUGUAGGCAAACUCCACUAGAGGUAGAUGCUGCCUCCAAGAACCGCCAAAAUCUAGCACACACAUUCUGAGCAUAUCCUCUAUUGUCUGGAUGGUCCUCUCUGACUGUCCGUCUGUCUGUGGAUGGAAAGCGGUGCUAAAAUCCAACCUGGUACCCAUAGCGUUCUGCAGACUCAGCCAAAACCUGGAGGUGAACUGGGGCCCUCUAUCAGACACUAUUGAAACAGGAACCCCAUGCAACCUGAUAACCUCAUCAACAUACACCUGUGCCAACUUGUCCACAGAGUAGUUACUCCUGACAGGAAUGAAGUGAGCAGAUUUGGUUAGUCUGUCCACAAUCACCCAUAUGGAGUCUAAUCUGUUGGACGCUGCCGGUAACCCCACCACGAAGUCCAUAGCUAUGUUCUCCCAUUUCCACUCUGGAAUAGGUAGUGGGUUAAGCAUUCCAGUCGGCUUCUGAUGUUCCAGCUUCACCCUCUGACAUAUUUCGCAGGCUGACACAAACUGUGCCACUUCUCUCUUCAUAGCUGGCCACCAAUACACUCUCUUCAGAUCUUGAUACAUUUUGGUGGCCCUAGGGUGAACACUGUAUCUGGCAUUAUGAGCUUCCCUCAUAAUGUCUCGCUUCAGUCCCAUGUCAUAUGGUACACACAAUCUAUUCCUAUAGCGGAGGAUCCCCUUACUGUCAAAUCUGAACUCUUCGUUCUUGCUUGACUGAACAAUCCUGGCAAUCUUCACUAACUCUGGGUCCUCGUGCUGCUUCUGAGCCACCUGCUCCAGAAACAUGGGUGCCACUCUCAUCUGGGCUAUCAAAGCACCUGUACCAGACAACUCCAACUGUAGACCUUCAUUGAUGAGCUCGAAGAACUCCUUCACUACUGGCCUCCUCUCUGCUGAAAUAUGGAACAAACUGCCAAGUGAUUUCCGGCUUAAGGCGUCUGCCACAACAUUCGCCUUACCCGGAUGGUACUGGAUCUUGCAAUCAUAGUCACUGAGCAGUUCUACCUAUCUUCUCUGCCUCAAAUUCAGCUCUCUCUGACUCAGGAUGUACUGCAGGCUCUUAUGAUCUGUAAAGAUCUCACAUUUUACCCCAUAAAGGUAAUGCCUCCACAUCUUGAGUGCAAAGAUUACCGCUGCCAUCUCUAGGUCAUGUGUAGGGUAAUUCAACUCGUGCUUCUUUAGCUGCCUAGAAGCAUAAGCAAUCACCCUUUCAUUCUGCAUUAGCACACAACCCAGUCCCACACGGGACGCAUCACAAUACACUGAGAAGUCUUCAUUACUAGUUGGCAGAGCUAACACUGGUGCUGAAGUCAAUCUCUUCUUGAGCUCCUCAAAGCUUUCUUCACACUGGUCGGUCCACACAAACGUCUGGUUCUUCUUAGUCAGUCUGGUCAUAGGAGCUGCAAUCUUAGAGAAGUAUUGGACGAACCUCCUGUAGUAACCUACCAAACCCAAGAAACUCUUGAUCUCUGUCACUGUAGUGGGUCUAGGCCAGUUAGCUACAGCUUCCACUUUCUUGGGGUCUACUUCGAUUCCAUUUUCUGACACAACAUGCCCCAAGAAUGAAAUGCUCCUCAGCCAGAACUCACACUUGGAGAACUUGGCAUACAAGCCGUGUUCCCUCAAGGUCUGCAAAACCAACCCCAGAUGAUGGACAUGCUCCUCUGCAUUCCUGGAAUAUACUAAGAUAUCAUCUAUGAAGACAAUAACAAAGUGAUCCAGGUAUUGGCUAAAUACUCUGUUCAUGAGAUCCAUGAAUGCUGCAGGGGCGUUGGUUAACCCGAACGGCAUCACAAGGAACUCAUAGUGCCCAUAUCUGGUCCUGAAUGCUGUCUUCAGUACAUCCUCUUCUCUUAUCCUUAGCUGAUGGUACCCAGAUCGCAGAUCUAUCUUGGAGAAACAACCUGCUCCUGCUAGCUGGUCGAAUAGAUCGUCGAUCCUUGGCAACGGGUACUUAUUCUUGGUAGUGACUUUGUUCAACUGCCUGUAGUCGAUACAAAGUCUGAGGGAUCCAUCCUUCUUUCUCACAAACAGUACUGGAGCACCCCAAGGUGAGGUACUCGGUCGGAUGAAGCCUCUAUCUACCAACUCUUGCAACUGCUCCUUAAGUUCCUUCAAUUCUGCUGGUGCCAUCCUGUAGGGAGGGAUAAAGAUCGGUCUGGUUCCAGGCAUCAAUUCAAUUUCGAACUCUUUCUCCCUGGCAGGUGGUAAACCUGACAGCCCGUCUGGGAAAACAUCUAAGAACUCUCUAAUCACAGGCACUGAGGUGGGCUCUCUGACAUGACUAUCCAGCUCUCUCACAUGAGCCAGAAAACCCUGACAAUCCCUCCUGAGGAGCCUACGAGCCUGAAGGGCUGAUAUUAAACCUCUAGGUGUUCUCCCCUGUCUCCUCUGAAGACAACCUCUGACCCAUCCUGACAUCUGAACCUGACUACCUUGUCUCUGCAGUCCAAGGUAGCACCAUGGGUAGAUAGCCAAUCCAUCCCUAGAAUGACGUCAAAAUCUGUCAAAUCUAGAACCAUAAGGUCGGCAGAAAGGCAUCUUCCCUCAACAAAAAUUGGACUAUACUGGCAGACUGACUCUGCCACUGAUGGGUCGCACUUGGGUCCACUGACCCAUAGGGGACACUCUAACCCAGAGACCAUCAAUCCCAACCUCUCGACGGCCCUCGGAGCAACGAAAAAAUGAGAUGCACUAGGGUCCAUUAAGGCAUAAAUAUCUGAGCAACCAAUGAUGAGAUUACCUGCCACCACGGUGUUCGAUGCAUUUGCCUCUUGCUGUGUCAUGGUGAAGAUCCGUGCUGGAGCUGAUGGACCUUCACCUCUGAAACCCGCUGAAGAAGAGGCUGCCUCUCUCCCUCUACCUCUGCCACUAGCCUGAGUCGCAGCUGGAGCUGCUGGCUGAGCCACACUACUAGAAGCUGUCUGCUGAGACUGUGCCAUAAAAGCUGCUCUAGGACACUCCCGAGCCAUGUGUCCCUCCUGCCCACAUCUGAAGCAGGCUAUCGUCCCAACCAGACAUACUCCCUUGUGCGGCUUCCCACACUUCAUGCAUACUGCAUUAUCUGCACCUGAGCUCGAGCCACUUCCUAAUCCCAGACCUGACUUGAUCUUGCUCCAGAACUUAUUCUUCUUGGACUUCCUGUGGCCUCUGUCCCACUUCUUACUACCUGAAGCUGCUGAACUCAAGGAAGAAGGAUCCAACUUUCCCCCACAUGUGGUCUUGGAACCAGAAGACUGUGCCACUGACUGCUUAACUCUUCUCUCGAUUAUGGCACUAGCCUCCAUCCUCCGGGCCAUAUCCACUAUGGCAUGGAAACUCUCCCUCUCUGCCGACUGGAUCAAGGAGGAAUACCUGGAAUGAAGCUUCAUGAUAUACCUCCUUGACUUCUUAUCUGUGUCAAGAUUCUGCCCAGCAAACGACAACAGCUCCAAGAACCUGUCUAUAUACUCAUCCACACUCAUCUCAUCUGACUGCCUCAACUGCUCAAAUUGAAUCAUCUUCAAUUCCCUUGAACUAUCAGGGAAAGCCCAUCCUGCAAACUCAUUUGCAAACUCCUCCCAUGAUAGGCUGUCCAACCUCGGUUUCACAUAGUUUUUAAACCACUCUCGGGCCUUCUUGCAUUUUAGUGUGAACCCAGCCAUCUGAAUGGCUCUAUUGUCAUCAGCUCCUAUCUCAUCUGUAAUCAUCUUGACCCUCUCAAGAUACACAAAUGGGUCAUCACCGGUUUCAUAUUGGGGAGCACCCAACUUCAUAUAGUCGGUCAUCUUGACCUUGCUCCCUCUAGAUGAGCUAGGUUUAGGCAUUUGGAUUUCUGGGACAGUAGGUGCUGGUGGUGGUGGAGGAGGUGCAGCAUCCCCUAGGGUAGGGUUUGCUGUACUUGGGUAGAAGGACGGGGGUGGGUACAUAGGGUACUGUGGGUAUGGUGGGUAGAAAGGUGGGUAUGGCAUGUGAGAAGGGUAAGGAUUAAAGCUGGGGUAAUCCGAUGUACCUCCCAUCGAAUACCCGGGGUUCUGUGAAAAUAGUGGGUACUGGGGUGGCUGAACAAAUCCCGAGGCCUGAGUGCCUCCUUGGGACUCUCCCAUACCCUCCUCCGACAUACUCACUCCAAGACUGCCAUCCCUCCUCUGAUCCACAUCCAUAUCAUCCCCCACAUCCUCUGACAUUCCUCCUUGAACUGUUCCUCUCACUGAUCUGCUUCUGUUCAUAUCCAAAGACCUUCUAGGGUCUCUCACUGCUCUUUCCCUGCUAGACCUGCUAGACAUUGCCCUUGGCAAUGCAGGGGGACGGGCACUCAUGCCCUCAUCCUCCGGUGGUACUCCAGUCAAUCGUGCCGAUCGACGAGUUCCUCUCAUCCUGUUUACUGAAAAACAGCACACAAUACAUAAACAUUAGCAUCGAAUGGUUCAUGUGCAAACACAUGAACCCGCAUCACAUACAUAGCAUAUCAUUUAUGCACAUGCAUAAAAUCAUGGCAUUUCACAUCAACAUUCAAGACAGGACUCUACAUCCUAUCCUAGUGGACAUGAUUUUUCCUAUUGUGCUUGACCUUCUAGAACAUCUAUGAGCCCGACACUCUAGGUCCGACCAUGUGAACCUAGGGCUCUGAUACCAAUCUGUAACAACCCGAAAAUCAGACCGCUACCUGCGCUAGGAUCCGGGUCGGCUUAAGGCUACCGAGACCCGUAGCAAGCCCAAGAUGCCUCCUGUAUACCUGUUUAAUCCCAUACAUGAUCAACACAUGCAUAGAAAUUUUGAACUUUUACAUUCACUCACCAAACUCAACCUGUGCAUGCACAACUCAUAAUCAUCAUUCCCCUCAUUGGAGUCCUCAACUAUGCUCAAAUGGGAAACAUUCAUUCAUACAUUAAGUUUGGUUUUCAUAAAAUAUCAUUACAUUUGAUAGAUCAUGUAUUAAAAGGGAUAAACCACAUACUAGGGUCAAGCACCACUCUAAUCCUCAAUAACAUCAUUACAUUACAUAAUUAUUCCAUACUAUGAAUUACAUUACUGUACUAAACAUUACAAUUCAACAUCUAUCAUGUCCACCACUAGCUAUUACAUGACCACAACUUUACUCUAGCUGACCUCCUGGUCUAUCCCGUACCUGCAAACCUGGGGAAAUAGGGGAGUGGGGUGAGCUACUAGAGUCCAGUGAGCAGAAUAAUAAAACAUAGUAUUUAAAACAUAUGAUAAUAUGGAAUGCAUCACAACACAAACAAAUCACAUCAAGGAUGAACUUGUCACCAGUUAGCCCUCUAUACUGUCUAAACAUGCCAGGGGCAUAGAGCAGGCACGCCUGGACUUCCAUAGCAUAACAUACAUAUCCAAUCAUGCCGGGGGCGUAGUGCAGGCCACACCCGGACUUUCUUUUACAUUGUGCCAGGGGCGUAGAGCAGGCACGCCUGGACUUCCAUAUCAUAUCAUCAUAUCAUAAUAUAUGAGGGCUAAUGGAUCAUUCAACAUUCAUCCACAUCGACAACAUAAUAUGCAAUACAACAUAUUCGUGAAUUCUAAUGCAAGCACCCUAAUAUAUCUCAUGGCAUUCAUGAUGCGUGAAUCAUGCUAAAACUUUCAUUAUUUGCUUUAAAACGUACAGAGUUAUUCCACUCACCUCUGGCUAGCUCUGACAGACACUGAAUCAGCUGACUCACUGCUGGGGGCCUCGGUUCCUCGGGUCCGAACCUACACAGGUAGACUCAAAUGAGGGACCAAACAUACAUAAACAUGACUCUAAAAUACUCCCCAAAAACCCCCUAAAACACCUUAAAACAAUCAUAGAAAUCAUGCAAAGGAGGGCUGAACAGGGCACUUUCGGCGGCAGGUUCGGCGGCCGAAAGGCCAUCCAGAGCCGAAAGUCAUGCACCUUCGGCGGCACUUUCGGCGGCCGAAGGUCCCCUCCAGAGACGAAACUCAUGCAUGUUCGGCGGCACCUUCGGCGGCUGAAAGUCCCUUCCAGAGCCGAAAGUCCACUUUCGGGGGCAGGGUUCGGCAGCCAAAAGUUGGCCUCCACAGGCAGGUUCGGCGGCUGAAAGCCUUCGGCUGCCAAACCUGGGUCCCCCCAAAGUGGCAGAACCCAGCCUUUCUCAUGCAUAAACGCCUCCCAACUCAUUCAAUCAAGCAAAACAUGCAUAAACACAUACAAUAGCUCCUAGGGGCUUCAAACUAUCCUAAACCCCAACUACAACACAUCAAACAUCCCACAUUACUCAAGAACAUGACAUANNNNNNNNNNNNNNNNNNNNNNNNNNNNNNNNNNNNNNNNNNNNNNNNNNNNNNNNNNNNNNNNNNNNNNNNNNNNNNNNNNNNNNNNNNNNNNNNNNNNNNNNNNNNNNNNNNNNNNNNNNNNNNNNNNNNNNNNNNNNNNNNNNNNNNNNNNNNNNNNNNNNNNNNNNNNNNNNNNNNNNNNNNNNNNNNNNNNNNNNNNNNNNNNNNNNNNNNNNNNNNNNNNNNNNNNNNNNNNNNNNNNNNNNNNNNNNNNNNNNNNNNNNNNNNNNNNNNNNNNNNNNNNNNNNNNNNNNNNNNNNNNNNNNNNNNNNNNNNNNNNNNNNNNNNNNNNNNNGCACUCCCGAAGCACAUUAAACUUAAGGUUCAG
rnacentral:lncRNA from 1 species